rnacentral:rRNA from 1 species
UUUCUACAUUUAUAGUAGAAUUUUAUUUUUUAGUCAAAAAGCUAAAAUGAAAUUAAAAGACGAGAAGACCCUAUAAAUCUUUAUAUAUAGAUUAUUAGAAUUUUGUAGAUUUUUUUUAUUAUAAUAGUUAAUUGUAUUUUAUUGGGGUGAUAUUAAAAUUUAAUUAACUUUUAAUUUUUAAAGUCAUUAAUUUAUGAACAAUUGAUCCGUUAAUAACGAUUAAAAAAAUAAGUUACCUUAGGGAUAACAG